GGGAAUUUUGGGCAAUGGGCGCAAGCCUGACCCAGCAACGCCGCGUGAGGGAUGAAGGCCUUCGGGUCGUAAACCUCUGUCGGGAGGGAAGAACCGCAUCCGUUCCAACAGGUCGGGUGCCUGACGGUACCUCCAACGGAAGCGCCGGCUAACUCCGUGCCAGCAGCCGCGGUAAUACGUAGGUGGCAAGCGUUGUCCGGAUUUACUGGGCGUAAAGAGCGCGCAGGCGGUCGUUUAAGUCGAAUGUGAAAGCCCCCGGCUCAACUGGGGAGGGUCAUUCGAUACUGAUCGACUUGAAGGCAGGAGAGGGAAGUGGAAUUCCGGGUGUAGUGGUGAAAUGCGUAGAUAUCCGGAGGAACACCAGUGGCGAAGGCGACUUCCUGGCCUGUUCUUGACGCUGAGGCGCGAAAGCUGGGGGAGCAA
rnacentral:rRNA from 1 species